rnacentral:lncRNA from 1 species
GCUCAGAUGCUUCUUGAUGGACUUCUCCGCGCAGAACGUUCGGAUGCUGAAAAAUGCUUGGCCAAAGCAGACAGUGCAGCUCCUUUGCCCCGCGAAACUCUGAACGAGCUGUCGACAAACUGCAUGACAAUAUUCGUUGGCGGAUACGAUACGACGCGACUAGUGUUGACCUACUGGUUUUACGUUAUGGGAAGACAUCCAGAU